AUUGAACGCUGGCGGCAUGCUUUAUACAUGCAAGUCGAACGGUAACAGGCCGCAAGGUGCUGACGAGUGGCGAACGGGUGAGUAAUGCAUCGGAACGUGCCCAGUCGUGGGGGAUAACUACUCGAAAGAGUAGCUAAUACCGCAUACGAUCCAUGGAUGAAAGCGGGGGACCGUAAGGCCUCGCGCGAUUGGAGCGGCCGAUGUCAGAUUAGGUAGUUGGUGGGGUAAAGGCUCACCAAGCCAACGAUCUGUAGCUGGUCUGAGAGGACGACCAGCCACACUGGGACUGAGACACGGCCCAGACUCCUACGGGAGGCAGCAGUGGGGAAUUUUGGACAAUGGGCGCAAGCCUGAUCCAGCAAUGCCGCGUGCAGGAAGAAGGCCUUCGGGUUGUAAACUGCUUUUGUACGGAACGAAACGGCUCUGGUUAAUACCCGGGGCUAAUGACGGUACCGUAAGAAUAAGCACCGGCUAACUACGUG
rnacentral:rRNA from 1 species